AACUCGUACCUGCUCUACUCCGUGGUGAUCAAUUCACUUUUAUUUUUGGCAGUUUUUGGUUUGCGUCGCAUGCACAGAGAAAUACACUUGCAUAAAGCAUUGCAGUUCGAUGUCUAUGUCUAUGGAAAUGUGCAUCAUGUUUUGCUUGCUUACACAGCAACAGUUGUGAGCUGUAGAUGUAAUGUGUACGUAAAUGUUUUUAUAUAAUUUUCUAUAAAUUGACGCAACGACGAUUGAAGCACGUGACCUGGCUGUGUUUUUGGACCACGCGGAUGUGUAUUUCGUUUGUAACUGCUGUACGGAAUGACAUUACACCCGAAAUGAGCUUUAGAUACUAGUGCAGUUAUGGAAACUUUAAAACGAAUAAACCUGGCUGCCGUGCUGGGAGAAGAGCUAGGGGAAAAAUAUGUCUCCAAAGGUAUUCAGUUAUGAACGCUGAGAGAUAUUGUUAAUUUCUAGUAUAGUGUGUGAUGUCUGAAUAAUUUUGUUUGUAUUUUGCUCCUGUAGUGACUCUGACUCAAGAAGCUCAGUUUGUUCUUUUGAGGAGAUGGCUGAAAGAAAAAGGAUUCACCUCACAAUCUCUCAUCCCUGUCAACUUCAAAAGCAAGUCGACAGCAUCCACAGUAGAUUGCUUGUAUGUAAAAUUUCCACACUUACAUAGUUUUGUUACUAUCUAUAUCCGUUCCCCUUAGAUACUGGAAGGGGGCUUAUGGCAACUCAAACUAUCAAGUACUACUUGGAGGAGUGUCCUCUUGGGGGCAGAAGUGAGCCAGGAUAGGGAGCAGUGGUGCAAUCACGAUGCCCUAAAGCUUUGCAAUAACCUCACCGAUGACAAUGUCAAAGCACUAGAGAGACUAUCACAGCUCAAACAGGGUGCAAACCGUUCUCUCCUUGAACAACUGUGUGUGGUGGAGAGCCUGAGACAAAAGGAGCAAAGGAUUCUGGAACACACACGAGUGGUUCUUCAAAACCUCUGGGGACAAUAGUCACUGUGGUAACAGUAGGGCAUUAGGAACACCGGGGAACCAGAAGCCUCACGCUGUCACUGGCAAGAUUUAGACACAAGCCAAGAGCCAGCAGCCCUUAACCUUAAAAACUACAGGGAGUCCAAAUUACUGAAAAGAAUAGUUCACCCAAAUCCAAAAAUUCUGUCAUUUAAUCACCCUCAUGUU